rnacentral:rRNA from 1 species
UACGAGUGCAUCGAGCGUUAUCCGGAAUCAUUGGGCGUAAAGGGUGCGUAGGUGGCGUUGUUAGUCUCCCGUAAAAUUCCUCGGCUCAACCGGGGGCUCGCGGGAGAAACGGCAAUGCUAGAGGUUGGUAGGGGUUUCUGGAACUCUAAGUGUAGCGGUGAAAUGCGUUGAUAUUUAGGGGAACACCAAAAGCGAAGGCAGGAAACUGGACCAUACCUGACACUGAAGCACGAAAGCGUGGGUAGCGAAUGGG